CACACUAAAUUCGCAUAUUCGUAUCAUGGUUCGCAUACCUACAUCAUGAUUCAUUUCUACAUGACUAUAUUCCCUUGUCAAAAUCCCUCAAAUAUUUUGUAUUUGAGUCGCAGAUACCAUUUUACAAAGUUUGCCUGGUUACUUAGAUCAAUAACAAGAUGUCGCAUGUGUACGUGAUAUUAAACCUUUAGCAGAUUUACGAGUUUUUUCUGGGAACUCUACACGAAGCAAUUGAAGGACUGAACGGUACAGUUAUCAAAAUGCCACUGAAGCGCGUAAUGAGCCCCUAUUUGAACAAGACUGUCCUGUAGAAUACACAGGGCAGACAGGCCGACCUCGGUACAGUGUGGAGGAGGAUCUUGUUAAACGCCUGCGCAGAGUCCUUCAAAUGGGUGGAUAUCGCAAAAAUUUUUUGAGUUUCUUCGAAGACAUUGAUUCGACGAUGUAACUAGUUUGAAAUGCCAAUCGGUCCAGACGCAUAUUCAAGUAUUGAAGAUGGUGACUUACAUGAGCAUGUCCGCGAAAGUUUACGUCAAAUCCCGAAGCAGGGUUGCACUUAGUAGAAGGAGGGUUAGAGCUAAGGGUUUCAAGAUCCAAAGAAGACAUGUCUUUGAUUCUAUUUCACGUGUUAAUCCUAUGAUGUCAGCUGUAAGAGGACACAGUUUUAGAAUUGUACAGCAACCACAUUCUGUGCCUUGCCCUAAUGCCUUGUGGCACAUAGACAGUGAUCAUAAAUUAACUGAGCCCUACAGAAUUUUGAUUCACAGAGGCAUAAAUGGGUGUAGGGUAUUGAUUACACAUGCACCUAUCUUGUAAUUAUUGACAACAAGCUUAGUAUGAGUUCUAACUCAUUAAAUGUACUACUUGCAGUAAUCCUACUGUACUGGAAAUACCUGCAUGCUGUAAAAUUACUACAAGUCAGUAAACUUAACCAAAAACUCAACCAAAAUGCAACCUGUGGGAUGCUGAGUGCUGCUUCAAUGGUUUCAGAGGCUUUAUGGUUGAUCGAAACAAACUGUUUCAUAUCAGUCAAGUAGCCGGUUAUCCAUCUUAAGUAGGACUUGGAGAAUCCAAGAUUGUGGAGCUCUGUGAGAACCGUCUCAUAUGAGACUGUGUCAAAUGCCUUUGAAAAGUUGGUUAGGACAGCCAUAAUAACCUUGCCCUCCAUAAAAGGUAUAUACAGUAAUAAAUAAAUUGGUAUAUCAACGACAUUGUUUUUAGCAGGAACAAAACUAGAAUAA